AGCAGCCGCGGUAAUUCCAGCUCCAAUAGCGUAUAUUAAAGUUGUUGCAGUUAAAAAGCUCGUAGUUGAAUUUCGGGAUUGACACAUCGGUCGUGCCUUAAGGGGUAUGAACUGGUGUAGUCAAUUUCUCACCUUCUGGAGAACCGCGAUGCCCUUAAUUGGGUGUCGCGGGGAACCAGGACCUUUACUUUGAAAAAAUUAGAGUGUUUAAAGCAGGCGUUUUGCUUGAAUACAUUAGCAUGGAAUAAUAAAAUAGGACGGCAUGAUUCUAUUUUGUUGGUUUCUAGGAUCACCGUAAUGAUUAAUAGGGAUAGUUGGGGGCAUUAGUAUUCAAUUGUCAGAGGUGAAAUUCUUGGAUUUAUUGAAGACUAACUACUGCGAAAGCAUUUGCCAAGGAUGUUUUCAUUAAUCAAGAACGAAAGUUAGGGGAUCGAAGACGAUCAGAUACCGUCGUAGUCUUAACCAUAAACUAUGCCGACUAGGAAUCAGACGAUGUUAAUUUUUUAAUGACUC
rnacentral:rRNA from 1 species